AAGUAGCCGAAAAGCUGACCCACGCAUCGUCACAGUAAUUUCUCUCGCAUUGUCUCUCAGCGUGGAAACGAAAAAACAGGGGAAGAGGAGGUACGAUUAGUAACUCUUUGCACUCGAAUGGCGAAUUUUUACGUUACUAAAUUUGCUUUCAUUUAAUAAACGAAAUUCUACAUGAGCAAUUCUGCUACUCAAAAAGCGAAUAAAAGUCGAGAAAAAAACAUUUGCUUUCAUUUAAUAAACUGCACAUAAUUUAAGAAUAGCACGAGUAAGUGUUCAAUUCUACAUGUUCAAUUCUACUACUCAAAAAGCGAAUAAAAAUCGAGAAAGAGAGUCUCCUAGAUUGCAAGAAAUGUCCAGAGUUUUGAAGUUAAAAUGUCUUCGAGUGCAAAGGGUUAACUGCCGAUUAUCGCGAGACUCGAAUAAUCGUAUCUCCUCGUUCGAAGUUGUCCAUUUUCGUUCCCAAGCUGGGGAACAAUGUGAGAGAAAUUACUGUAGUGCUGUCACGUGUUCCCCUCCAUUACACUAACUUCAGUUUGCCGACGAUUACGGGGCACCGAGCAGGAGGGAGGGCAAUGAGAUUCCCCUCGCGCCAUCAAUUCCCUGGCAACACUGGUGCUGAGUUCUGCAAAGCAGGCUGCGUAGCCGCAUCGGUCGGAACUUACGACUGCUGCAAGAGCUUGUUGACGAGGCAGUCCCGCUGGCAAACACCGGCUCCUGCUUGCGAAACAAUAACUUCCACGAUCGGCCGUACUUUUUCCACUUUAGAUCGGGAACUCGGGAACAAGAGGCUCUCCGACAGUUUCGAGAUGCGCCGAGUUGCGAUUCGAGACAUGAUCACCAUCGAGAACCUUCUGAUCGCUGUAACCGUAAAGAAAAUGUUACGACAAGGGGUUGAACCCUCGCCACGCCGAAACCGUGAGAAAAAUUCUCCUCCGAAGGAAGUUGUAAAACGUGUAGGCACGGAGAUCGCCAAGAAGGUCCAUGUUCCGUCGCAGAAAACGGAAUUGUCCGACUGGCUGUCGCACAACAGGUGAUCUCGCGUCAAUCAUCCGUCAGACGUUUCCUCGUUGCCAGAAGACACAUGUGCGCCGGUGAUAUUUCGCAAGCUGGCACACGGCCGUUCCCCCGAGGUGCGAAGGAGGCGCACCGAAAUAACCUGCGCCACAAAGUAGCCCAGCGGAGGAUUCGGGAGCCGACGUCAUCGAGAAUCAACGAGAUUUAUCAAUGGCCGGCCGGCCGGCGCGGCGGCAGGCACCUCGAGGAUUCCCGGUUAACCACUUUGUUACCGAGGACGACACGUAACGAGCGCCGGCCAAUCGGCGGACGAGUGGCCGUGGAUAGGAACCGAAGAGAUAGGAGAAGAACCCGGUAACAAAUCGAGCGAACGAUGGAGUCGAGACUGUGCGUGCGAUGGCACUCGAGAGAUCUCCACUUAUGGCUGCUCGACGCUACGCGUCGGAGAGCAUGGGCUCGCGGCGACGACGACGAAGGGCGACGCACACUGGGAGAAACGGCGGGUCUAGAUGGAAGAAAAUCCUAUUCAUCAGUAAUGCUGUUUAUGCUAACUUGUGCAUGUAUAUGGUCGAUGCAAACGGGAGACUUCGAGCUUUCGUUUCCUGUUCAUUUUAAACGGGAACAAAAUGUUCCGAUUGCAAGAAUUAAAAGAAAGCGAUUAAAUUUUGGGAAAAUCUGUUCUCUGUUGUUUAAACUUUAGAUAUCAUAUAAAUUUGAAAGCGGUAUCUCUUGACAGUAUUUAGAUAUUCGCUUCCAAAGGUAUAAAUGGUAUAAAUGGUAUAAAUGAAAUUUAUACCAGUCUCCAGGACUUUUAUGACAAAAAUGAGUAAGUCAAAUGAAAAACUGAAACGGCAUUGGAAGAAUUCAAGGAUAAUUUUAUAUCAUGUUCCACUUACUAUGAUUGUUAAAAGAAUAAAGAUAAUUUCAAGUGAUUUAUAUUCCUCACAA